UUCUGGGGUAGCUUAUCUAUGCUGAAGUUUUAAUAGCAAAAUUUUCUAUAUCAACCCAUAUCAACUUUUUAAAUAAAGAUAAAUUUAAACCAAAUAAAGGUCUAUUUUAUUUUAAAAAUGAGUCACUAAAGGGUCACCAUAUCUAGCUGGAAUAAAUAUGUGACUCCAAAUUUGAAAUCUAAUUUCUGUUAAUUCUGAGAAAUUUAAUAAAAAAAAGUAUAAAAAAGAGCGAUGUGUCUUAAAAUUCAGUUAAAUGUAACUAAUGCAAUAUCUAAGAAGUUUUCAAAAGUUACAUGUAACAAAAAAAAAAGUGAAUAGACAAUUAUUCACUACUCAGUGUACCGCGUUGAAAAAGUUAUGUGCAGUAUGCUGGAAUAUGCAUAUAUAAUCUAUAGCCUGUCAGGUGAUUGCGGCAAUCGAACAUUUAAAGUACACCAGCUGCGUAGUUAUUAGCAGAUCUUAAGCAACAGCUUCAUAUAUAGGUGAACAACAAUCGGCGAUCGAGAGCAUAAAGAAUAUAAUUGUAGAUGAAAAAAAGUUAACUGACAUGGAGGAUUGAAAGCUAUCUGAAUAAUGGAAAAUGAGUUACCUGCGUAAGGAUGAUUCGCUCCGGCUGUCAAAAUGCCAACAUUAUUAUUGCUGCUCAGUAUUUCGUGAACACUGUAAAGGGUGAAAGGCUGAAAGCUGCAAUGGAGAUUACGAAGCCGUAGCCAGCAGGUGUUCUGACUGUCCCUGCCAGAAUUCUACACCUCAUGUUUGAACACGACCUUAUCUUCAAUUCAGAUGGGUAUGUAAAGCUGCUAGAGCCUUUGGUCAGUCCCUGGUCAGAGAGGGUUACUGCUAGAAUGUUAUAUGCGUGUGCCAGCAGGUUUCGGCUCCUUGCCCUAUCUCCAGAAAGUGUCAAAAAUAGUUGUCGGAGAAUUUCUACGACUUCACCAGCUCUAAUUUCUAGUCUCCUAAUUCCUUCGAUUAUAAUGUCUUGGAUAACUAUGUACAGGCGCAGUCGGAAAAAACACCAACCGCUCUGCCUGUAACCCCAAGGCCCAGCUGGUGACUAAAAUCAAUUAAGUGUUCGAAGAUCUUCGCAAAAAGACAGUGAAGGGCGCAUGUGCCAGGUUCGAGAGCCGUCUUGAGGCCGUUGU